rnacentral:tRNA from 1 species
GCUAAUGUGGCGCAGCCGGUAGCGCAACUGAUUCGUAAUCAGUAGGUCAGGGGUUCGAAUCCCCUCAUUAGCUCCA